GCAGCCUGAUUCUCCAGUGCAUCAGGAUAUCCUUGUGCAAGACUGUAAAACUGGCCUACUGUUGAGAGUGUCUGCAGCAGAGCCAAGUCUGGAUUCACACCAUUAAGGCGUUCCUUCCUCCUCUACUGUCGCCACAGGAGACAGACUGGGAUCCCCAAACACAAGUGGUUCUCCAGUUUUUAUGACAGCCUAGAAAGCAGUAUAAACUAGAGGAAUAAAAGAGUGGUCUCUGCUCAGGAACCCCAUGUUCAGGUGGACCUGAUUCUGUUUUCUGCCUAUCUUCAAUGUGGACUGUAAGGUUAGCCCAUUCGACAUUCCUGAAGUGUCCACCACCGUCUGAGCACUACACAUGGGAAAUGUGUGUCACAGGCCCAGCUCUGUGGCUGUAUUCAGGAGAUAAUGCAUGUUUUACCAACCAGCUAAAAUGGAACUAUUUAGUGGAUGCAUAAUCAAUAGGACUGACAGGUUUGUUGUUCUUUUUUUCUUUCCCUGGAAUUCCAAAGAUGGUAAAAUAUUUCACUGUUGGUUAUUACUAUGGCAUGUCUGAUAGCUGAAGAAACAUUCAGACUGAUUUUCUAGAAUCUUUUAUUUGUAGAAUGCAGGUUUCAGGUACAGUCACUACAAG